GAUGAACGCUAGCGGCAGGCUUAAUACAUGCAAGUCGAGGGACAGCACAGGUAGCAAUACUGGGUGGUAACCGGCAAACGGGUGCGGAACACGUACACAACCUUCCUUUAAGUGGGGGAUAGCCCAGAGAAAUUUGGAUUAAUACCCCGUAAUAUAGUUGAAUGGCAUCAUUUGAUUAUUAUAGCUACGGCGCUUAAUGAUGGGUGUGCGGCUGAUUAGAUAGUUGGCGGGGUAACGGCCCACCAAGUCUACGAUCAGUAGCUGAUGUGAGAGCAUGAUCAGCCACAAGGGCACUGAGACACGGGCCCGACUCCUACGGGAGGCAGCAGUAAGGAAUAUUGGUCAAUGGACGCAAGUCUGAACCAGCCAUGCCGCGUGAAGGAUUAAGGUCCUCUGGAUUGUAGACUUCUUUUAUUUGGGACGAAAAAGGGCCUUUCUAGGUCAACUGACGGUACCAGAUGAAUAAGCACCGGCUAACUCCGUGCCAGCCGCCGCAGUAACAC
rnacentral:rRNA from 1 species